GAGAUAUGGUAUAAUUGUUGUAUCUUACUGGUAUUGGGACUGGUUUACAUGUUGAAUCGGUUGGCACGAACCGGUUUUUACAACGCUGACAAGAAGAAAGAUUCCUAAUGAAGUUGUAGGAGUAUUCAUCUCAUCAAACAAAUGGGCUAAAAUGGAUUGCCAAGUAAUCAUUGACAAAAAUAUAGCUAGAAAUAGUUGUUGGUCAAAUAGACACCUUUCUUACGUGGGAAGAUUGCAGUUUGUAAAUUUUGUUGGGUUAUUGUUGCAUUGCUACUAGGCAUGAUCUACUCCAUCAAAGUAUUGUUGAACUGAAGGAGUUUUGUUUCUUUGUUCAUCUUCGAGAAUUUUUUUUCAAAGAAGCAAAUUAUAGUGGCUUGGGAAUGAUAAAUGUUAAGAAGUAGAAUGAGGCAACCAUAACAAAGCAAAUAUGGCCCAUAGCUAGAAAAAAAGGGUAAAAUAGAUUUAUGGAU